UCGGUCGGUAACAACAACGACAGUGCUGCACCUUCAGACACUUAAGUAAAAGCAGUAAGUCCAGUUGGAAUUCUGGCCAAUUCUAGUAUUCCAGGUUCUAGUUAGUAUUCCAGCUCCAGUGAAGCCAGAGCUUUGGUUCAUUUUUCGACUAAAAUUAUUGGGAUACAGUUCAGACGGUGGAAGUACCGCGAGCAGCACUAAAUAUUUAGUGCAGCAGCCGCAGAAAGCUCUCAGGAUACUUUUUUACACGAAAUGUGAUCCCUGAAGUAAAGUAAAUAUUUUUUCUCAGAUCGAAUUGGGCAGCAGCCAACCACAGCAGCAACAGGGUACACGAUCACCAUACAGCAGCAGAAUGCGGUGACAGUGGGUUAACAGCAAACACAACAGCAAAAUGCUCAUAACCUUGUCGUUGUACAAAACAAACGUGUCACGGAAGCCCACGACAUACUCAAACGGGCUAACCGUGUGGUUUGAAUCUUAUCCUCGGUUUCAUGGUCGACAAACCGGACAACCGGCGACUUUAGAUGGGAAAUAACGAGAACGACCGAGAGCCAGGAUUAAGUCUUCCAAGCAAACACACAGGCGUUGUGGAAUCGCUGAUCAUGCUUGAUUGCAAUACGGGCGAAUGGAAAACGUUUCACAACUACCGUGUGCUAAAUCCCUCUCAACAGCACGAAGUGAGUACCGGCACGCCUAGUGGGUUCCCAGGUACCGGUAAUUAACGAUAAUCAAAAAGAAUCCAGUGGUUAUACAAUAACUAGCAUAGCGUAAAUACCGUCAUAGUAAGAUAUUAUUGUAGUAUUUGCGUACAACGGAAGUAUGAACGUGUUGGAGAAAGCGGAUUUCUCAAGUAUUUAAAGUGCGUAUAUAGCACUGUAUUUUAUACUGGAUAUGUCAAUCAAACAACCAUUCACAACAUUUAAUCGAUACAAAAGCAACAGCCAACAACUCCUUGAAAAAGAACCAUAAAAAUUACUGCCCAGAAACCAAAAAAAUAUGACCGCCACAUCCAUUGCUCAGAUCCUGAAGCAACAACAACGGACCGUUCAAAUUACAACUUCCAUUGUGACAAAAGACACACAGCAUCCCAAAUACACCCUGGUGAUAGUAUCGCCAAACGUGAAAGGUAAAACAAUUUACAACGAAUUCAUCCAAUAUAUUGGAUCUAACAAGAAUAUUUUUCGAAUGGUGGAUCCUACGGGGAGCACCGUUUAUCAGUGAAUUUCAUUGCAAAACGUAUCUGACUUAGCUGGUGUCCUCCUGGUUUAGUGAAAUAGGAGACAUAAAAGCUCCAGCCUUGGUUCCUUGCUUCAAAAUAUUUCUGCCUAGACAUCGGUCGUACUCCCAACAGAUACGGCAGUAAGCAUCCACUAUUCCAGCGCUUAUAAUCAACAUUUCACAGCAGGCGCAGCAGACGUACUACAUCAUUCAACAAUAGCAGCAGCAAAUUGACACUUUCCCAAUACGACGACCAUUAUCCGACUGGUCGGUAACGAUAUUGUACUAGUGCAAACGAUCCAAAUCAAUCAGGGUCAAACGCAGAUGUCCAUUGACCCAACAACAGCAGCAGAAGCAACAAAUAAGGACUAUCACAAUUAAAUUCACUGUAGCAGAU